rnacentral:sRNA from 1 species
AACUCCAAGAUCGAACCUACGCAGCUCU